ACAGAAAUACAUCAUUAAAAUGUUCAGGCAUAUAGCAUAGCAUAGCAAACAGAGCAAACCAGAAGGUCUAUAAAGUGUUACAAGGUGGAUGCCAGAGCACAACCAUCAAUUCAAAAUAAAAGCUAACAUAUCUUUGCGGACUUUAACCACAAUACGUGUCACUCUUCUUAAUACUCCCAAAGCAAAACUAUCACUAAGUCACCUGAUACCAUCUCUUCUUGUUUGUGCCAUCCCACCACAAUUCAUAAUGGCCUCAGGUGGCAAUUGUGGCAUAUCUGCAGAUAAUACAGAACAAUUCUAGAAACCGAGAACAUAUAUAUAAACCUAUGAGAGAUCACCAAGAAAAUUAAACACCGAAACUUUACAGUGGUAUUGACAGAACAAGGCAUCACAUAUUAUUUACUCCAUUCUCCUAAGAAUAAUACAAAAGGGACUUCAAACUAUGUAACUCCAUGAAUAACCUAUGCUUGAAGCCACAUGAACAUAUUGCCGUCGGUUGCCGGUCUUCCGCAUCUACGCACUGGCAAAAUAAAGAACAACUUGCUCAAAAGUGUUAAACUGAAAUGUAAGCAGAUAUAUAAUGUGGGGAUUCCCCCAGCCCUGGCCUUGCCAAAAUAAAUUAAAAUGUGGGUGCUUAAAUUUUUUGGAAUGUAUGUCAAGGGAAUGUGUACUAUAAAAAGAAGGGGGUAUUUUCUUUUAGUCAUUUGAACAAACAAGCAAGAAGCACCUUCUGUGUCACAUAAUUGCAGCCAUCAGAACAAAAAAUUGUUACUGUGGAUCAAAGAUCCAUGAUAAAAUACGUGCACACAUCCUAUUUGAUGCAUUAACACAAUCCUCCGAAGGGCAUAUACACCAUGCAUGCAUAGAAGAGAAGCUAAACAAGGAGGAAAAUCGAAUGAAAAUCACAACCAAGAAGGAUGGCAAAAUCCAGAUGUACUGAUCAUCCUCAACCCAUCCAAGGCAAGGCCAUAGUCGAAUCCCAUGGUGGUGGAUAUAGCUGGCCAAACGGGCCGGGACAAACAGGCCAGCAAGCGAGCACGCCGGCACGGCCCGCCAUGGGCCAGGCACGACCCGUUUAAUUCUUUUAUAUAAUUUUCAGAAUUUUUUUACAUAUGUAUACCUAAAAUAUAGCCCAAUAGGCCUAAAAACCAGCCCAACAGGCUGAAAAUAUACAACCCAGCGUGCUAAACGGGCCAUCGGGCCGGCCCAUUUACUAAUCAGGCCGUGCCUGGGCCAAGGAGCAGCGCCCGUGGGCCGGCACGGCAUGGCCCGGCUAUUAAACGUGCCACGGCGGGCCGUGCCAGGCCAGGCACGAUUAGCACAGGCCGUGCCGGGCCGUGCCGGGCCGGCCUGUUUGGCCAGGUCUGGUGGUGGAGUAUCCUAGGCGGCGGAGCAGGGAAAGGAAUAACACACCAGCACAAUCGGCGAAGACGAAGACACCACUGACUGCUCGUCCUUCUCUUCGGCGCCACACUCUGAGGCACGACAAGUGUUUUCAUCAUUCCAGUUCCCAUUGAACUGAUGCUUGAUUCUGGUGAAAACCUAUACGAAAGAACACAUAUUUAUGUAUAUUUCAUCAAGUAUAUGCCAGAAAUAUCAACAAGCGAAACCUGUGUGGUUUGACCUAAAGUUCCGUCAUCCCAUCAAUUGUGGUUGUUUAUGGAGUGCUUCUCAUCCUUGCUCUAGAAACAUAUUUGUAUAUGUGAAUUUGCUAGUCUCAAUCAUAUGUGUAAAGAAAAGGGUAAACAUGAACUGGCUAUAUGUGUUUAUUCCAGCAUAC
rnacentral:lncRNA from 1 species